rnacentral:piRNA from 1 species
UGGAGCCUCCCAAACAUAGGGAAAGAG